AUACGUAGGGGGCGAGCGUUGUCCGGAAUGACUGGGCGUAAAGGGCGCGUAGGCGGCCCGGUAAGUCUGGAGUGAAAGUCCUGCUUUCAAGGUGGGAAUUGCUUUGGAUACUGCCGCGCUUGAGUGCAGGAGAGGUUAUCGGAAUUCCCGGUGUAGCGGUGAAAUGCGUAGAGAUCGGGAGGAACACCAGUGGCGAAGGCGGGUAACUGGACUGCAACUGACGCUGAGGCGCGAAAGUGUGGGGAGCAAACAGGAUUAGAUACCCUGGUAGUCCACACUGUAAACGAUGAAUGCUAGGUGUAGGGGGUAUCGACCCCUUCUGUGCCGCAGUCAACACAAUAAGCAUUCCGCCUGGGGAGUACGGCCGCAAGGUUGAAACUCAAAUGAAUUGACGGGG
rnacentral:rRNA from 1 species